AUGCUCUCUGCUUUGGUGAGGUUCAGUCGCAAGGUUUACCCCUGGUGCUGUGAGAAGGGCAAUUUCCUGCUGUGGGCUGGAGGAGCAGUGGCUGCUUGCUAAUGACAUGGUGGAAAUGGGGGGAGGCAAUGGCCAGGGCAGUGAGCAGCACCUGCUGUGGAGCCGUGCAUCUCUCCCCCGGGCUGUGGGGCUCAGCUGCUUUUCAGAGGUAAGAGAGGAGAAUAAUUGAGACACAAAGGACAGUAAUCCAGCUGAGCAGCCCAUCUGUUCCUGGGAGGAGCACAGAAAGGAAGGAAGCUGGAGAGCACAUAAUAAUGCUGAAGAGAUGCAAAGAGCCAUUUUGAUUAUAUUAAGAGAAGGCAGGUGAACAAGAGACCUUGACUUCAGUGGGACCUAGAUCUGGCCUUCAAAAACGUGGGAUGGAGGGAGGGGAGGAAGUUCCAACACUGAGUUCUACAGAACAUUUUGAUCACAGAGAGUCUUGUUAGCCAAGCCACAGUUUUGUUUUGUUUUGUUUUGUUUUUUACUAUUACAGGCUUGUCUUACCUAAAACUGUGUAGAGAAUGCUGUACGAACUUAGAAGAGGUGGUUUCUCAAAUACUGUAGUUGUUUAGAUCCCCUUGUUACAAUAAACUAAAAAAUGAUUGUGCUUGCUGUUGGUAGCUAUUUUCCCUGUGAUGUUUGAACUUCCAUUAUGGCAUUUGUUGUAUCAUGUAAUAUAAAGAGUUCUUUGUAAUCACAUUUUGACAGACAGCUUUAGCUUCUGCCUUGAUUUUAUUUCAUGAUGCACUAUGUGAUUUUACUGUUCUUGAGCAGCCCUCUUUUUAGGGAAUGUGCAAAUGCCACAUGUAAAAAUGAAUUCAAAUUUGUACCUAUGUGUUUUCAUAUUUGUCAUACUCACAUAUCAGAGGUAUAAUUGCACAUGUACUUGACUGAAAGCCUGUCUAAAUAUCUUAACAGCUGCACUGUCUCAAGUUGGUUUAACAAAGUCUUUGGUUCUUUAAUUCCCACUUUAAUGUUAACAGAACUGAAAACUUUUAGAAUGGGAUUCGUCUCACUUAUUAUACAGAUCAAGAAUCUAAGUGCCUAGACUAAGCUAGUUUCCUGGCUCUCAUCAUGGGUAUGCAAAAAUACCGCUAGAUUUGUCCCACUUAUCUCAACCUUGACCUACUGACUCCUCUCCAGUGCUUGUUGGGAGGGAAUGAUGACCCUUGCGUUAAACACCUCAAUGUUAAAUUUAAACAUAAACAUCUAGCUUCUGUUCUUUCACCUCACCAGUUAAAAUAACAUUUUCUGAAGAUGUAGACUUCUUCAUAUUCAAAUUUCACUAUUUAUUUAUUUAUUUAUUUAUUUUCAGAGAUGGUAACAAAAACAAAUACUGUUUUCUACUGUAGAUCAGAGAACUGUUGAGGGCAGGAAAUAUACUGGCAAUGAGAAUUUCAGAUCUCUCCAUAAGCACUGCAUGAAUAUCAUGCAGAGAAAUACCAUAGAAAUCAAAGUUUCAGACUCUGUCAAUGACUUUCAUGGAGCAGCCAGGUAAGGAUUGCACCCUUGACUGGAACUUGAGCAGCCUUUAUGAACGGGUACAAAAUCUUGUAUGGAGAACUACUAGAUAAAGUCACCAUGACAUACAUAGGUGCAGUAUUCCAAAAAAUCCACUAUGCUUGUGUUUCCCUUUGAAAAAAAGGGAUUUAUGUGAAAAUGAGGAAGCUCAUUAAAGAGAAACUAAAACAGGGACAG